GACGAACGCUGGCGGCGUGCUUAACACAUGCAAGUCGAACGCUGAAGCUUGGUGCUUGCACUGGGUGGAUGAGUGGCGAACGGGUGAGUAAUACGUGAGUAACCUGCCCUUGACUCUGGGAUAAGCCUGGGAAACUGGGUCUAAUACUGGAUACGACAUGUCACCGCAUGGUGGUGUGUGGAAAGGGUUUUACUGGUUUUGGAUGGGCUCACGGCCUAUCAGCUUGUUGGUGGGGUAAUGGCUCACCAAGGCGACGACGGGUAGCCGGCCUGAGAGGGUGACCGGCCACACUGGGACUGAGACACGGCCCAGACUCCUACGGGAGGCAGCAGUGGGGAAUAUUGCACAAUGGGCGGAAGCCUGAUGCAGCGACGCCGCGUGAGGGAUGACGGCCUUCGGGUUGUAAACCUCUUUCAGCACGGAAGAAGCGAAAGUGACGGUACGUGCAGAAGAAGCGCCGGAUAACUACGUG
rnacentral:rRNA from 1 species